GUUACUAUGGCGGAACAGGCAGACGCUGCGGGCUUAAAACCCGUUGAUUUUAUAUCGCUCCGGUUCGAUCCCGGAUAGUAACACCA
rnacentral:tRNA from 1 species